rnacentral:rRNA from 1 species
CUCGGCAACGGAUAUCUCGGCUCUCGCAUCGAUGAAGAACGUAGCGAAAUGCGAUACUUGGUGUGAAUUGCAGAAUUCCGUGAACCAUCGAGUCUUUGAACGCAAGUUGCGCCCGAAGCCAUUAGGCUGAGGGCACGUCUGCCUGGGCAUCACGC